UCAAAGUCGUAGGAAAACCAAGUAUUGUCAAAAAUUAAAAUCAUUGUUGAUAACGAACUAUUUCAAAUUUAAUAAUCAAUAGUAAAAAUUAAUCAUCCCAUGAUAACAAGGUGAUAAAUAAUAAUUAUUUUUAUUUUUAUACUAAAGUAGUAAAAUAUAUUAUAGUAUAAGAUACAUAUGGGUGUAUAAGUUAUCCGAGUAUAAAGGAUUUCGUAGGCUUGGAACCAAAAUAUGCUAUUUAAAAAUAUCAAAUUCUUCAAGAAAGAAAUAAAAUCUUUAAAAAAACUUAAAUACAGUUCAAUAUUAAUUAUGCAAUACUAUGGUCCGUUUGUCCGGAAUUAAUGUAUUCAUCUGAGACCAUUCAAAGUGCAGCUGUUGAAUGACUAGAACAGUCAAAAUAACUAUGGUAUCUACAUUCAAGGUAACAUAUGUCUAACAUUGGUGUGCUGUAAAGAAUAAUUUUCAAGGGGUCAUCAGUAUUCCAAAAUCAAUCGGAGUAACAAGUAUAAAUUUUCAAUCUGACCUGAGAACUAUAGAUUUGGAAAUUGUAUUUUAUAUGAUUUCUAACUAUAGGUACCCAGACCACAUUUAAUGGUAAGUUUAUGGCACUCGUUUAUUUUAAAAACUUUACCAGGUUUUCUAUUUAAGAUCAAAAUAUACAUAUAGCUGGAAUAGCUAUCAACAUUAUACAAUCAUUAGAGAUGACUUUGAAAACCAUGGUACUUCGUGGGCAAUACUGACAGAAAGAUGCACUUUUUAAAUUUUGCACAAUCACAAGGAAUAUCUAUGUUUCACUUCGAGUAGUUGAUGAUAUAUCAAUGAUAAUAAACUUGCUAUAAAUAUGUUACAUUUUAGGAGCUAUCGAGUCGGAGAUAUUCAAAUUCUUUUUGCAAUUUAGUGGGUAUAAAAACAAAUAUAUUCGGUGAAAAAAAUGGAAUAUUAUGUAGUACAAGGUUUCUCUUAACUUAUUGCUUUAAUUAAUAUCAAAAUUGCAGUCCUAAUUGUUUUUUAUACCUAUCCGUUUAAAAAUAAUUUGAAUGAGCUCCAUCAAAACCACAAACAUUUAAACGACCGAUUCCAAGCAAAUAAUAUAAUUAUUUAACUAUUAAAUAUUAAAAAUUAUUAAAUAAUACUUACUGCCUGUAUUUUUCACUGCAAAUGAUAAUGUUUAAUUGAUUAGAAUAUUGUUCAAUAUAGAUUACACUAUGAUUAAGGAUUAAUCUACAUUUUGUUGGGGAAAAAAAUGUAUCAGAAUUUUAUAAAAUGUUACUCUUAUCUUUAAUAAUUAAUUUAUUAUACUAUUUAUGGUAUCUAUAGUAAAGCAAACAAAAUAAAUAAAAACGUAAUUUCUGAAAAAGUCAAAACGAUGUGUAGGCAUGUACAAAUGUAAUUUAAGAGGCUUGCGGACAAGAACGGAUAGUAUAGACACCAUUAUAUUUACAUAAUAGAACUAUAACAUUAUUCUGAAAGAACAUAUCGACGCCCCUAACGAAAAAGGACGUAACUCACCUUUACGAUUUUUUUUUUUUUUUUUUCAAUGCGGUGUUACUGUUUUUCUGGUUGUCCGGCGACGCUGAUUGUUGUAUUUAAUCAAACAGAGACGUUGUGAACAAUAAGAUUGAGUUACUACCAUCUUCGUCAGAAAUCCACUAACACCAGUAAAACCACUUUGAAAAAAAAAAAAAAAUUGUAAAAGUGAGUUACGUCCUUUUUCGUUGG